AGGAAACAGAGUAGGGGGAAAAAAGACGGAGUGAACCAAAACAUAAGAAGAAAAGCUGACUUUUCUUUUCUGUGAGCAAUAUUUCACAUCCUUUUGCCGGCCAUCAAACAGAUGCACAGGCAGAUGGAGGGAAAUUAGUGCAAAAUAGGCAAGGAAGAAAUGAGAGAAAGAGAGAGAGAUGAAAGGAGCUAAAAUUUUCAAUGGCUGGUUAAGAAGCAGGUUAACACAGAGUAAUGAACGAGCCCAAAGCACGGACGACUGGGUGACAGCAGCCAAGUUUACCUCAGUGAGAAGUGUUGGGAAAGACGGGAUUGGGAUGAUGGUUUCCGAUGUGAGCAUGUGAUGCUGCAUUUUCAUAAUCAUCACUUGAAAGGAGGUCCAGACUGAAUACUAAAGCUGUUCCUGGCGUUUUUCUGGUCUGAGAGAGAGACAUCGAUCUCACUUUAGAGGCACAGACACAACGCUGGAUGUGAGGGAUGUGGGUGCUGCUGCAGAGAGAUGAUGCCUAUUCUUCAAAUCCUGCACACUUCACACACUCGAGCAGUCCACAUCUCAGGCAAGCAGAGCGUGGAAACUGGAGGACAUCCUUCUCCCUGAAAUAAAACUUUUCUCCAUGUGCAUCAUGAGGCUGACAGGAACCCACCUCAUCUGCUGGGAUGUGGAACAUGCUGUAUAGUCAUAUGCUGUACCCAUGUGGUGCUCAGAGAGCUCUUGUUUUUUUUUUUUUUUUUUUUUUUUUUUCGUGCUCUUUCUUUCAAUCCCUCCGAGGAAAGCGGCUGAGAGGAAAAGAGGCAGCGUGCGACUGAAGAUGGAUCACUUGCUGUCAGUCUGCGAGGCCCUUAUGAAAUUAGUUCUCACGUUUUACAUCACGCACAUUACAUUUUGCUUUUCUUUUGCCCUGCCUUAUUCAUCUCCUUCCCAUUCAGUCGCAUUCGUUCGGUUGAAAUGAUGGCAACAUUUGGGUAUUUUUUUUGUUGCCAAAUUGUAGGUCUAGUAAACGAAAA
ensembl:lncRNA